AGUGAGUGAGGGUCCAGUGUUUCACAUUGUUUGCUUAAGUAUUUGUGACUAGAUCCACACUCAUUAA
rnacentral:pre_miRNA from 1 species